rnacentral:rRNA from 1 species
CAGUAGCCGCGGGAAUACGUAGGUGGCAAGCGUUGUCCGGAAUUAUUGGGCGUAAAGGGCUCGCAGGCGGUUUCUUAAGUCUGAUGUGAAAGCCCUCGGCUCAACCGGGGAGGGUCAUUGGAAACUGGGAAACUUGAGUGCAGAAGAGGAGAGUGGAAUUCCACGUGUAGCGGUGAAAUGCGUAGAGAUGUGGAGGAACACCAGUGGCGAAGGCGACUCUCUGGUCUGUAACUGACGCUGAGGAGCGAAAGCGUGGGGAGCGAACAGGAUUAGAUACCCGAGUAGUCCAUGUCUCUUAUAC